UACGAAGGGGGCUAGCGUUGCUCGGAAUCACUGGGCGUAAAGCGCACGUAGGCGGCUUACUAAGUCAGGGGUGAAAUCCUGGAGCUCAACUCCAGAACUGCCUUUGAUACUGGAGGAUCUUGAGUCCGGGAGAGGUGAGUGGAACUGCGAGUGUAGAGGUGAAAUUCGUAGAUAUUCGCAAGAACACCAGUGGCGAAGGCGGCUCACUGGCCCGGUACUGACGCUGAGGCACGAAAGCGUGGGGAGCAAACAGG
rnacentral:rRNA from 1 species